rnacentral:SRP_RNA from 12 species
CCGAAAGGAAGCAGCGGCGAGCGAUAUUA